UUUCAAAUUCGUAUUAAGCAACUCCUGCUCGAAACGAACAAACGUCACCGAUCCACAAGUCUCCGCAACUUAUAAACACAACUGCACACGACCUCUUCACGCUCUUCCAGUAAUCCGGUACAAUUACUAGAAUCUAGGAACGCCUAACAAUCAAGAACGACCGGGACGACCGGGAACACCGGGAAUGACUGGAGCAUAAAUGUCCUGUACGUUCUGUACCAUGUUCAUAACGUUCAUUAGUUUCGUAACCGUUCGUAAUAAACUACUACGCCGUCAGAGAGCAUAUACCUAUUCACACUCGUACUGUAGUACGUAUCGCACAUAUCGCUGUGCCUUCAUUACCGUCAUGAAGGUCAUGAAAACCGAUCAAGAAGAUUUCCACGGAUCAGCUGCCCAUGUCCGUGAUUGUUUUUGUUUUAAUGUGUGUCCGAAGAUGUUGCAGAUCUUGAACCUUAAGGUAGCCAUUUCGUUUGUGAGGUUGUGAUGUGAAAGAGUGUGGGAGCUUAUUUUACGGCUUGUAACGAUUUAAAAAUUAAAAAGCGAUAAAAUCUGUUUGAGCAGUGUGGUCGAAAAAUAUAUCGGCAUAAGAUCUUGCAGGUAAGAGGGAAGUAACAACGCAGUGUUGGCCGACAGCGGUAUACGUAAUUUUGUCGUGCGAGACAAACUUAGCACAAUGUGCAGACUAAAGAAGAGGUAAGUUAUGCAAGGAUCUAUACAGACCACUACACAAGGAGCAAUUUGCACUGGGAUCUGCACCCACAGCCACAAGACUGAUUACAUUUUGCUUGAACUUAAAGUUAUACAAGAAGCAUUCAAGUUUUGCAGCUUGUUACUGCAGAAUGUGCAAUUUCCAUUACACAGUGUAAAAGUAUUGCUGUUGUGCGUACUUUAUGCACGGACAUGAAGAAACUAUUCACUUGAGAACUGAAGAAUUUGCUGCGAGCCUUGAGUCAUGCUUAAAGGCAGAAGGAGCAGUGUUCUAACAGUUUUUAUAGAAUGUGAUAAGUUUGUGUUGGGACCGAGGAAACUUGUCACCCUGCACUUGCAAGCAGCAUGUUUCCAUCUCAGCUGAAAGCCCACUAGCACUAUUAGGCUUCUAAUUUAAAUCUUCUGGCCUCUUUCUUUGUUAACGGUUCCUAAGAGACGUUGGUAUUCACUGGUUGGUGCCCACUGUUCUUUUAUUGUGGAGCAGUGAGAAUGGAAGUAGUGUCACCCUCACCUUCAAGGAGUUCAUGAACUUCAGGCUGAAGAUGGACAAUCUCAAAGUUUCUGCCAUGACUGCAGGAAAAAUGCUUCAUAAUACAGUGCAGGGAGUGCUGUGUACAUAGCCCACGUGAACACUUCUCGAGGAACCAGAUACCUCCAGAAACGAUUAACAUAUCACUACCAAAUAAAUACUAUCAAUACUAAUGAAACAGUAACUAAAACAAGUACCUAACUCCUCCGAAAUCGGGAAAUAAAAAUAAAUAAUAAAAAUUAAUGAACCCUGAGACACAGGGUACAACAAUUAAAGUCAGCUUACAAAAGGAAAUAAACAAACCUCCAUGGUACAAAUAAACUAUAAUUUAAAAUAUCAGAUCAAUAAAAUACAACAACAAAACAAUGAAGAAGUUGCUGUUCUGAGUGAUGGAGGAUGCGGGACCCAGGUUACUGCAUCCAUGAAGGUCUUACCUCACGCCCCUCUCAUGGACAUGCUUGACUUCACAUCAGGGAAGGAUUUCCCAGGGAGAUCCCCAGUUGCCUCCACUAGACGUGCAUGGAAUGUCGGCAACUAAUCGUCAAGUGCUGGCGAGACUUGGGCGAAGAAAUUUCCGGCCCAGGUGACGAGGCGUCACAAGAAUGAAGGUAGUCCCACGUUACUGUCCAUAUCAAUGUAAAGGAGCUCAUCAGCUUUCAGCUGAGAGUGGGGCAUCCAGGAGGCCUUCCCUUCGAGUCCUGUCGCACCGCAGCUGUGAAGAGUUCCUACAGAGAAGCGCUGGGCAGACGACAGUGUAAAGUGCUGUUCCGGAUGUUGAGAGUUGUCCAUGGCACUACUGUACAUCGUGUUGACUUCACACCAAGGAAGAAUAAAUAGUGCAUCGUGCAUAUGAAGUACAGAGGGAUGUGUGUAUCAUGGCAAGAGCUGCAGCUCGCUGUAUUGUCUGAAGUUGGAAAGUACACAGAGGAUGCUAGAGGAAGACAGAUACAAUGAACUCUUGCUAAUCUAGAUUAAUUGGGCAGAGAGGUCAUCAUCAUUGUGAUGAUCUGGACUAGUGUAGCAAAAGGUAGCCCUAAAAGUCAAAAAGACUUAAAACACAAAUGGGAAAUGUAACGAUUUCCUAUGUGGCAGUAAGGAAGAAAUUAUCCUUCCAAGUGACAGAGGAUGUAACAACUUUGCAUUCUCUAAGGAAGUUCCCUCGUUUCCUAGUGGCUAAAAGUCUGUGUGUGGGUGUGUGUGGUGUGGUUGGAUAUUCAGAAACAUGAGCUGGCUUGAAUUUCCAUGCCCACUGUGCCUAGAGGAAAGGAAUGAUUGAGACGAAACAAACCGCACUUUUUACAGCCACCAAAUCGAUACACCCUGUAUUUGCUGAAAUGUAAUAUUGUAAUGUAAAAGGACUCGAUGGCAUUCUUAAUGUCACUGGGAUGGAGGUGAAAGAUCAACUGUGCUAGCAUUUAACACCAUUAACCUUUGGAACAGUGCCAUCGUCUCUCUGCACAUAGGAAGUCACACCCCUACUGCUGGACAUUAGCCAGGCAACGGUCCUUGGAAAGCAUAAUUCAUUAUUCUCACAAACCGCGGGACUAAAAACGUCUUGUUCUGCCAUUUUGAGAGGGAGGGAUCCACCCAACACGUUUACAUCCCCAUGGCAAAGCACCAAGGACCACGGGAAAGUUGCCUGCCAGAGACACAGACAGAACCGAGUGGGAGCUGGGAAUGCAACGUGACCAAAGGACGGUGAAACAGAUGUGGCAUAUCAAAUCUUCUGCUGUAAUUUCAGUUAUUUCGUCUGAGAGAUGUUAUCGCUUUCAAGCCAGGAGUGCACAACUGUCGGGUCAGAAUCUUCAUAAAGAAUCGUGAAGCAAACAAACAGGAGGAAAGGAGAAAGAGUCUUCCUAAUAUCUUGGCUCAGAAAGGGCUGAACAUGAGCCCACUGUUUUGGGGGGGGGGCAGAAACGUUUCUUACAAGUUUACGCUGAAACAGCACUGGGUCGCCCUAGAGUAAUCAGCAUAGAAGAAUGGUUUUGUAUAAUUUUAAUUUUUAAUAAUGUUUGGUACAUUCCCUUUAUUCUUCAGUUUUGUUUCCUCUUCAGGAAUGCGUGGCGGGGUGGCAUACUUGACCCCCCCUUGCCAGUUGAUAGGUCUCUCUGUGUGGGGUCUGAGGGACUGAGACCCAGUAAUUUAACAACAGGUUUCUGACACUUCUACAAAAGAGACGACUUGUCACGAAUGGUAUGUUGCUUGAAAAUUGUAAAUGAUUUGGUGAAUUACAAAAUUAAUUUUAUGAUCAUUUCAGAAGUGGUGGUGCAUUACA